UACGGGGGGGGGCAAGCGUUGUUCGGAAUUACUGGGCGUAAAGGGUUCGUAGGUGGCCAACUAAGUCAGACGUGAAAUCCCUCAGCUUAACUGGGGAACUGCGUCUGAGACUGGAUGGCUUGAGUGCAGGAGAGGAACGCGGAAUUCCAGGUGUAGCGGUGAAAUGCGUAGAUAUCUGGAGGAACACCGGUGGCGAAGGCGGCAUCCUGGACCAACACUGACGCUGAGGAGCGAAAGCCAGGGGAGCAAACGGG
rnacentral:rRNA from 1 species